UCCCUGGCGGUCCAGUGGUUAGGACUUUGUGCUUGCACUGCCAAGGUCCCAGGUUCGAUCCCUGGUUGGGGAA